GCUCCAUGUCGGGAGGAGGUGGAGGCUGAGUCAGGACCCUCCCCGUGGGGACAGUGCGGGGUCGGGGUGCAGCAUGGGCGGAGCCAGGGCAGGGGGUGUGGCCUGGCCCCUUGACCACCUCCAGCUCCCCUGGACAUCCAUGCCAUCUGGGCCCUCCCAAGGCCUCCUCCGGCCAGGGGCACCCCAUCCCUCUCUGCCCACUUCCACAGAGGGUGACGCGUCCCCAAGGGAAAGAAGGGGACAGCCUGACCAAAGCCCUGGUUCCCACACAUCACACACGGACGCUCCUCCCCUCGGGCCCCGGCCGGGACCAGGGCUGUCUGUGGGGGGAGGGGUGCUGAAUCAGAGCUCCUCCUUCAGCAGAUCUGCACAGACCCCGGCUGGGUGCCAGGACCCCAGCGCAUGGCUGGGGUGGACAGCGACCAGGCAGUGGCGGGGCCACGCCAAGUGCAGGCAUGUGGCGUUUCAGCUCUGUUCCCAUGGAAACCAAAUUUGGAGACUCCAGCGACCCUGACCCCCACCUGGUGGCCUGCGUGCAAGCAGGAGAGCCACAGGUAUCUGCUAUGCCCGCUGACCCUCAAGAGCACCUGCGACCUCAAGAACCCCCACCAGUGGCCAGGGCUGCUGUGGCCCUGAAGGCUCCAUGUCGGGAGGAGGUGGAGGCUGAGUCAGGACCCUCCCCGUGGGGACAGUGCGGGGUCGGGGUGCAGCAUGGGCGGAGCCAGGGCAGGGGGUGUGGCCUGGCCCCUUGACCACCUCCAGCUCCCCUGGACAUCCAUGCCAUCUGGGCCCUCCCAAGGCCUCCUCCGGCCAGGGGCACCCCAUCCCUCUCUGCCCACUUCCACAGAGGGUGACGCGUCCCCAAGGGAAAGAAGGGGACAGCCUGACCAAAGCCCUGGUUCCCACACAUCACACACGGACGCUCCUCCCCUCGGGCCCCGGCCGGGACCAGGGCUGUCUGUGGGGGGAGGGGUGCUGAAUCAGAGCUCCUCCUUCAGCAGAUCUGCACAGACCCCGGCUGGGUGCCAGGACCCCAGCGCAUGGCUGGGGUGGACAGCGACCAGGCAGUGGCGGGGGGCCGCCAAGUGCAGGCAUGUGGGUGAGUAGACCGUGGGGAG
rnacentral:lncRNA from 1 species